AUGAACGCUAGCUACAGGCUUAACACAUGCAAGUCGAGGGGAAACGACAUCGAAAGCUUGCUUUUGAUGGGCGUCGACCGGCGCACGGGUGAGUAACGCGUAUCCAACCUGCCCAUCACUUGGGAAUAACCUUGCGAAAGUAAGACUAAUACCCAAUGAUAUCCCACGAAGGCAUCGGAAUGGGAUUAAAGAUUUAUCGGUGAUGGAUGGGGAUGCGUCUGAUUAGCUUGUUGGCGGGGUAACGGCCCACCAAGGCAACGAUCAGUAGGGGUUCUGAGAGGAAGGUCCCCCACAUUGGAACUGAGACACGGUCCAAACUCCUACGGGAGGCAGCAGUGAGGAAUAUUGGUCAAUGGGCGAGAGCCUGAACCAGCCAAGUAGCGUGCAGGAAGACGGCCCUAUGGGUUGUAAACUGCUUUUAUAAGGGAAUAAAGUGGGUCACGUGUGACUUUUUGCAUGUACCUUAUGAAUAAGAACCGGCUAAUUCCGUG
rnacentral:rRNA from 1 species